rnacentral:rRNA from 1 species
AACGAACGCUGGCGGCAUGCCUAACACAUGCAAGUCGAACGAAGGCUUCGGCCUUAGUGGCCCACGGGUGCUUAACGCGUGGGAAUCUGCCCCUCGGUUCGGAAUAACAGUAAGAAAUGACUGCUAAUACCGGAUGAUGACUUCGGUCCAAAGAUUUAUCGCCGAGGGAUGAGCCCGCGUAAGAUUAGGUAGUUGGUGGGGUAAAGGCCUACCAAGCCGACGAUCUUUAGCUGGUAUGGGAGGAUGAUCAGCCACACUGGGACUGAGACACGGCCCAGACUCCUACGGGAGGCAGCAGUGGGAAUAUUGGACAAUGGGCGAAAGCCUGAUCCAGCAAUGCCGCGUGAGUGAUGAAGGCCUUAGGGUUGUAAAGCUCUUUUACCAGGGAUGAUAAUGACAGUACCUGGAGAAUAAGCUCCGGCUAACUCCGUGCCAGCCGCCGCCGUAA